GACAGAUUUUGGAGCGAUUAAAGCUAUAGUGCGUAGUUUCUGUCGCCCCCAUGAGGAUUUCUAAGCAAUGACAACACCCCUGUUGCAUCUACAUGACACAAGCCUUCCGU